CCCCUAGAUGUUCUGGGCCGCACGCGCGCUACACUGAACAGUUCAACAAGUCUUAACCUUGGCCGAUAGGUCUGGGUAAUCUUUGAACGCUGUUCGUGAUUGGGAUAGACCUUUGCAAUUAUGGGUCUUCAACGAGGAAUUCCUAGUAAACGCAAGUCAUCAGCUUGCAUUGAUUACGUCCCUGCCCUUUGUACACACCGCCCGUCGCACCUACCGAUUGAACGGUCCGGUGAAAUCUCGGGACGGCGGCUUGGUCGCUUGCGUCCGACUGCUGAAACUUGAUUAAACCAUAUCAUUUAGAGGAAGGUGAAGUCGUAACA
rnacentral:rRNA from 1 species